UACGAAGGGGGCUAGCGUUGUUCGGAAUUACUGGGCGUAAAGCGCGCGCAGGCGGUUCUUCAAGUCAGAGGUGAAAGCCCAGAGCUCAACUCUGGAAUGGCCUUUGAGACUAGAGAACUAGGGUACGGGAGAGGUGAGUGGAAUUCCGAGUGUAGAGGUGAAAUUCGUAGAUAUUCGGAAGAACACCAGUGGCGAAGGCGACUUACUGGACACAUAUUGACGCUGAGGUGCGAAAGCGUGGGGAGCAAACAGG
rnacentral:rRNA from 1 species